GACGAACGCUGGCGGCGUGCCUCAUACAUGCAAGUGGAGCGACGAACCAGGGUUUACCCUGGGGCAAAGCCGCGAACGGGUGAGUAACACGUGGGUUACCUGCCCCGAUGAUUGGGACAACUCGAGGAAACUCGGGCUAAUACCAAAUGUGCUCCUGGUCGUGAUGGCCAGGCGGAAAGGAAGCUUCGGCCUCCGCAUCGGGAUGGGCCCGCGGCCCAUUAGCUAGUUGGUGGGGUAAUGGCCUACCAAGGCUGCGAUGGGUAGCUGGUC
rnacentral:rRNA from 1 species